rnacentral:rRNA from 1 species
UACAGAGGGUGCAAGCGUUGUUCGGAAUUAUUGGGCGUAAAGGGUGCGUAGGCGGUGCGGUAAGUCUGUAGUGAAAUCUCUGGGCUCAACUCAGAGUCUGCUAUAGAAACUGCCGUGCUUGAGUGUGGGAGAGGUGAGUGGAAUUCCCGGUGUAGCGGUGAAAAUGCGUAGAUAUCGGGAGGAACACCUGUGGCGAAAAGCGGCUCACUGGACCACAACUGACGCUGAUGCACGAAAAGCUAGGGGGAGCAAAACAGG